AGGACGAACGCUGGCGGCGUGCUUAACACAUGCAAGUCGAGCGGAAAGGCCCUUCGGGGUACUCGAGCGGCGAACGGGUGAGUAACACGUGAGCAAUCUGCCCCUAGCUCUGGGAUAGCUCCGGGAAACCGGGAUUAAUACCAGAUACAACCACUUUAGACAUCUUUUGUGGUGGAAAGGAUUCCGGCUAGGGAUGAGCUCGCGGCCUAUCAGCUUGUUGGUUGGGGUAACGGCCCACCAAGGCGACGACGGGUAGCCGGCCUGAGAGGGCGACCGGCCACACUGGGACUGAGACACGGCCCAGACUCCUACGGGAGGCAGCAGUGGGGAAUAUUGCGCAAUGGGCGAAAGCCUGACGCAGCGACGCCGCGUGGGGGAUGAAGGCCUUCGGGUUGUAAACCCCUUUCAGCAGGGACGAAGCGAAAGUGAGGUACCUGCAGAAGAAGCGCCGGCUAACUACGUGCCAGCAGCCGC
rnacentral:rRNA from 1 species